AUCAAGGCCCUGGGCUGGAGGAAGACAUCCCAGAUCCAGAGGAGCUCGACUGGGGGUCCAAGUACUAUGCGUCGCUGCAGGAGCUCCAGGGGCAGCACAACUUUGAUGAAGAUGAAAUGGAUGAUCCUGGAGAUUCAGAUGGGGUCAACCUCAUUUCUAUGGUUGGGGAGAUCCAAGACCAGGGUGAGGCUGAAGUCAAAGGCACUGUGUCCCCAAAAAAAGCAGUUGCCACCCUGAAGAUCUACAACAGGUCCCUGAAGGAAGAAUUUAACCACUUUGAAGACUGGCUGAAUGUGUUUCCUCUGUACCGAGGGCAAGGGGGCCAGGAUGGAGGUGGAGAAGAGGAAGGAUCUGGACACCUUGUGGGCAAGUUCAAGGGCUCCUUCCUCAUUUACCCUGAAUCAGAGGCAGUGUUGUUCUCUGAGCCCCAGAUCUCCCGGGGGAUCCCACAGAACCGGCCCAUCAAGCUCCUGGUCAGAGUGUAUGUUGUAAAGGCUACCAACCUGGCUCCUGCAGACCCCAAUGGCAAAGCAGACCCUUACGUGGUGGUGAGCGCUGGCCGGGAGCGGCAGGACACCAAGGAACGCUACAUCCCCAAGCAGCUCAACCCCAUCUUUGGAGAGAUCCUGGAGCUAAGCAUCUCUCUCCCAGCUGAGACGGAGCUGACGGUCGCCGUAUUUGAUCAUGACCUCGUGGGUUCUGACGACCUCAUCGGGGAGACCCACAUUGAUCUGGAAAACCGAUUCUAUAGCCACCACAGAGCAAACUGUGGGCUGGCCUCCCAGUAUGAAGUGUGGGUCCAGCAGGGCCCACAGGAGCCAUUCUGAGUUUCUGGCCAAACACAUUCAAGCUCACAUUCCCUUUUGUGUUCUCCAGAUCCUAUGAUUUCAUGGAAGGGGACCCUCCCACCCACCGCCACUGCCAACCAAGACAUAGCUCAGUGGUCAAGACUUGGGCUUGGGAGUCGGGAUCCUGUAACGAAUGUCACUUGACCGCUUUCUUUUUUUAUGAAACAGUCUCGCUCUGUCUCCCAGGUUGGAGUGCAGUGGCACGAUCUCGGCUGACUGCAACCUCCACCUCCUGGGUUCAAGCGAUUCUCCUGCCUCAGCCUCCCCAGUAGCUGGGAUUACAGGCGUGGGCCCCCAUGUCCAGCUAAUUUUUAUAUUUUUAGUAGAGACAGGGUUUCACCAUGUUGUCCAGGCUGGUCUUGAACCCCUGACCUCAAGUGAUCCACCCACCUCUGCCUCCCAAAGUGCUGGGAUUACAGGUGUGAGCCACCAUGCCAGGCCCACUUAACCUCUUCAAGUCUGUUUUCUCAUCUGCAAAACAGAGGUAAUAAGAUCAGUAUCUUCUUAAUGGAAGCACCUGGACUACAUUUUUUUCAUUCAUUGUUAUCAUAAAUGAGGACUAACCUGUCUCCCGUUGGGAGUUUUGAACCUAGACCUCAUGUCUUCAUGACGUCAUCACUGCCCCAGGCCCAGCUGUGUCCCUACACCAGCCCCAGCUGACGCAUCUUCUUUUUCUGCCUGUAGAGAUGGUUACAAUGCCUGGCGUGAUGCAUUCUGGCCUUCGCAGAUCCUGGCGGGGCUGUGCCAACGCUGUGGCCUCCCUGCCCCUGAAUACCGAGCCGGUGCUGUCAAGGUGGGCAGCAAAGUCUUCCUGACACCACCGGAGACCCUGCCCCCAGGGAUCUCUUCACAUGUGGAUUGACAUCUUUCCUCAAGAUGUGCCUGCUCCACCCCCAGUUGACAUCAAGCCUCGGCAGCCAAUCAGCUAUGAGCUCAGAGUUGUCAUCUGGAACACGGAGGAUGUGGUUCUGGACGACGAGAAUCCACUCACCGGAGAGAUGUCGAGUGACAUCUAUGUGAAGAGCUGGGUGAAGGGGUUGGAGCAUGACAAGCAGGAGACAGACGUUCACUUCAACUCCCUGACUGGGGAGGGGAACUUCAAUUGGCGCUUUGUGUUCCGCUUUGACUACCUGCCCACGGAGCGGGAGGUGAGCGUCCGGCGCAGGUCUGGACCCUUUGCCCUGGAGGAGGCGGAGUUCCGGCAGCCUGCAGUGCUGGUCCUGCAGGAUCCCUGGAGUUGCAGCUACCAGACAUGGUGCGUGGGGCCCGGGGCCCCGAGCUCUGCUCUGUGCAGCUGGCCCGCAAUGGGGCCGGGCCGAGGUGCAAUCUGUUUCGCUGCUGCCGCCGCCUGAGGGGCUGGUGGCCGGUAGUGAAGCUGAAGGAGGCAGAGGACGUGGAGCGGGAGGCGCAGGAGGCUCAGGCUGGCAAGAAGAAGCGAAAGCAGAGGAGGAGGAAGGGCCGGCCAGAAGACCUGGAGUUCACAGACAUGGGUGGCAAUGUGUACAUCCUCACGGGCAAGGUGGAGGCAGAGUUUGAGCUGCUGACUGUGGAGGAGGCCGAGAAACGGCCAGUGGGGAAGGGGCGGAAGCAGCCAGAGCCUCUGGAGAAACCCAGCCGCCCCAAAACUUCCUUCAACUGGUUUGUGAACCCGCUGAAGACCUUUGUCUUCUUCAUCUGGCGCCGGUACUGGCGCACCCUGGUGCUGCUGCUACUGGUGCUGCUCACCGUCUUCCUCCUCCUGGUCUUCUACACCAUCCCUGGCCAGAUCAGCCAGGUCAUCUUCCGUCCCCUCCACAAGUGACUCUCGCUGACCUUGGACACUCACCCAGGGUGCCAACCCUUCAAUGCCUGCUCCUGGAAGUCUUUCUUACCCAUGUGAGCUACCCCAGAGUCUAGUGCUUCCUCUGAAUAAACCUAUCACAGCCACUGA
ensembl:lncRNA novel transcript